CCUACGGGUGGCAGCAGUGGGGAAUAUUGCGCCAUGGGCGAAAGCCUGACGCAGCGACGCCGCGUGAGGGAUGAAGGUCUUCGGAUCGUAACCCUCUGUCAGCAGGGAAGAACGGUCACUGUGCUAAUCAGCAUUGAAUUGACGGUACCUGCAAAGGACGCACCGGCUAACUCCGUGCCCGCAGCCGCGGUAAUACUGAGGGUGCGAGCGUUAAUCGGACUUACUGGGCGUAAAGCGCUCGUAGGCGGUAUGUCAAGUCAAGGGUGAAAUCCCCGCGCUCAACGUGGGAACUGCCUUUGAAACUGGCAAACUGGAGUGUGUGAGAGGAUAGUGGAAUUCCAGGUGUAGGAGUGAAAUCCGUAGAUAUCUGGAGGAACAUCAGUGGCGAAGGCGACUAUCUGGCACAUAACUGACGCUGAGGAGCGAAAGCGUGGGUAGCAAACAGGAUUAGAUACCCGUGUAGUC
rnacentral:rRNA from 1 species